AUUUAACAGGAUUAUUUAUGUACAUUGCUUAGAACAAGUCUAGAAUGUGCUAAAUGCUAUUAUCAACUGUCAUUGCCGCUGAUAAUGAUGUUGACCAUGUGUGGGAUUAAAAGAAGAUAGUUAACCAGAGGUGCUUAUGUUUUACAUUGUCAAUGAGGCUCUUGGGGUGUGAGAAAGAAAGGGAAACUAACUGACCUGAAGGUUUUCAAUGGUAUGCUAGUAUGAAGUCAACUCUCUGCCUUCUUUUUCUUGUCUGCCAAAUAGGUUGGGAAACCAGAUGAAUUUUGUCCAUGCCCUGAUCACUAAUCUAUUGCUUUUGCUCUUAUUUCCAAAUAGAAACCUGUUGAAAAGUUGUGUUACACCUGAAUAAAGGUUAUCCUAAAAAUGUAGAAAAAUGCUUUGGAGUUGGUCAAAACUGGACUUGAAACCUGACUCAACUGCUUACUAGCUGUGUGAUCUAAGGCAUGUUACUUAACCUCACUGAACCUCAGUUUCUUCAUCGAAUAUAAUAUAAUAAUUAAUUUGCAGGGUUUCUCUGAGGAUAUUUGUGAAAUGUAUGUCAUAAGCACUAAGUCAUAGCUGUCAUUGUUAGUUCUUGGGAUACUCACCAUGUGACAGAAACAACAGCAGGCCCUGGUGGCUGGGAGGACUGCCUGGAUCCAACCUCAACCUGGAGUUGUGCUCUUCUGAAGAAAUCCUACUCGGAUGGAUAUAAUACAACCUGCUAAGUGUCCUCGCACUUAUCAGGUUGUAUUAUCAUUGUCCGUGUCUAUGGCUCUCGUCUACCAGACUCUAAAUUCCUUACAGGCAAGGACAGUGCCUUGUUCAUCUUUGUAUUCGGUGCCUAAUCCCGUGCACAUUGUAGGCCUCAUUAAAUGUUUGUUGAAUGAAAAAAUGAAUCAUCAACAGACAUUAAUUGGGCGCCUGCUCUGUGGUCUCCAUGGGCUCAGCUUUUCCCCGCCAGUUGCCUACAACGUCCAAGCUGUCUUCAGUAUACUUUCUCCUGGAGCUUACUCCUAUCUUCUCUUUUGCUGAGGACUUCUCUGUGUAGUGCAAGGAUAGCAGACAUACUUCAUCUCAAGUACCAUCACCAAUCAGUCAAUAGUACCUGCCUCGAUUAUGUUUCACAAAAAGGAUGCUGAAACUGGGUCUCGGUUUAGUGUGAAAGAGAGUUAUAAUUAAUUAGCGAUGUUUGCUGAGGGCGGGAGAAGGGGGAAUAGCAGCCUAAGUGCCACAUAUAUGUUAUAUUUAAUAUUAUGUUUUCCGUGAAAUACUGUUUCUCUGCCUGCAUUUUAGUCUUGGCUACUUGCAGAUGUUGCAUGGCUGCUGCUUCUGCUGCUGCUGCUACUACAGUUGCUGCUGGUUGCUCCUUGGGUAGGACCAAAGUGAUCAUUGAUCAGAAACUUCAUCCUCACAGUCUGGGGUUUGCUCCUGUGGCUGGUAUUCACAGUUUCCCCUUUCAACUUUACCUCAGCUAUCCCCUUACCUACAGUGACAGGUAGGCCUCAACUUUCCAUUUGCCACUCAACAGGCUCCUAUUUCCUUUUCCUUCUUUCGUCUGAUUAAUGACUCUUGUUCCAUGAGAAGCCUUUUUUCUGGUAGAAGAUAUGACAACUAGAGUACAGGUUAAAUAAUUCCGUCAGGGCGCCACAGUGAGUCAUAUAAGUUUCCCUUUAAUGUGGGAGAAAUCGGAGUGUGCUUGUAGACUUCAGGGCAAGAAGAACAUAGAAGAGAGUCGUUGUUGGGGGAGAAAAAGAUGCUAACAGAUGGAAUAAGUUUCUGAAAAAUAAUGGAGGGAGGGGAGGGUGAAACCUAUGGCUCUCAAAUAUGUAUGGGGAGAGGGAGAGGCUCAGAUGAAAGGAAUUACCUACUUGCUGGAGCAUAGGGAUUGGAGUUAGAAGGAACAUGUGACAAGGGUGUUGAAGAUUUGUAAUUCUUGAGGUGGAUGAUGGAGAGGAAGCUGACCAGGGACAGGAUUAUGGGGACAAACCAGAGUCCAAGGGAUAUUUGGGCCAAAAGACUAGAAUGGGGCCUUUUGGUCUAUUAAAAUGAGAUACCAUUAUAUUAAAUUAUAUCGUAUAUAUUAAAGUCAGAAACUAGAAACUCGGGAAACUUUAAAGAGGUCUUAGGCCACCUGUCACAAGUAACUUGAUUGCCUGAGACUGGUCUUUAUUGGUUGAGGGAUGGACAGCUAGCAAGAGAGGGCCUAUACAGAAAUGAAUUUGAAACUCCAGACUAUAUGUGGAAGGAAGUUAGAUCAGAAGUGACCUCAAAGUCUAUGAAUGAAGAAAGGCCCUGGUGUGAUCAAGAUGGGUAUUGGGUAGUUGGAAAAUUGGAAUAAUAGAACCUGUGAUAAGAAAGUGGAUUUUGAGACGUUAAGAUGGCAAAACCAGAGUGGUCAAGAUAACUUGUGAGCCAAGGAUGUCAGAUGGUCAGUUACAUAAAUACUGAAGUGACCUAGGACUAUAGCUAAAGCCAAUGCUGGGAGCCAGAUACAACAGGCUCCGAUGCCUGAGGAAUGAUUUAGAGGUUGGCACAUGGCAACCAUGCAGGUGCAAGAGAGGAAAGGAUAUAGUGGGAUAGUCGUGUGAGCCACGGAAGAGCGGUGGGGAUUGUUAGAAGUUACCAAAACCAUGAUCUUUACAUUGCACUGAGGUGUUGGCUUGCAGAAUGCCCAGCUAAAAUGAUCCCCUCCUCUAUCGGGUGCUUGCUCUAUACCCAGCACCUUGCUGUUUGCUAACCAUUUACCCCUUCUGGGUCUGUCGCAUAUCAGGUGUGAGACAAUGAGCAGCAUUCCCAAGCAAGAACGGCUAGGGGAGCUGCUGGCCCUUCGAAUUGAUGGAAUGCUGUGGCCGUCUCAACAGACUGGUCAGCUUGAAGUGGCAUCAAAAGAUUUCUUUCGGACCCAGAUUUUUCCUUGACCUUGACCUAGCUUUAACCACAUGGUACAAGCUUGUGUUGGCUGUUCCGUAAUGUACUUUGGCUUCUGAGCCUCUAACUUGAGGAGCAUGCUAGAACUGUCCUUUAAAAAACAACAGGCACAGCACGUUAAAAACACAGAUUGAUAAACUAGAACAAGAGGGUCCUGUUACCUAAUUGAGCUUUUAAGAUAAAGGAUAGACAAAAGAAAGUUCUCAUCAGUGGGUGAGUAACAACACUUUGUGACAACUACUCUACGGUCAGGAUACAUCUAGUUUAGUGGCCAUAUUGUACAUAUUCCCUGUGCUGUUGGGAAAGAGGGCUGGAAAUUGAUGCAGAGAGAUGUCCCUUAGGACUUGGAAUGUAAAGUUUAGGAGAAGGGAGUCUUUGUGAAUCCUGUGACAUUGCAUGUCAUCAUUUUCCCUCUGUUAUAGUCUUCGACUACGUCAAUAUUUCAGUGAAGGGGUAGGAGCCCCUGAGAUAGAGUGCCCAGGCCCUCAGAUGAUGCAUCCCCUCCUUUGGGGGCCGCCUUAUAUUUAUUCCUCAGGAGGAUCUGAUAGAAGACUUCGUGUGAGGGAGAAGAAAAAGAAGCAGAGAAUGACUACAGCUUGUUUUCAUGACUCAACAGAGGAAUUACUCUCUUGAGACUCUGCAGACCACAGGCCAUCCGUAACAGCCUUCAUCUGGGAGAGCCUUGUUGUGAAUGAGUGAAUGAAGCCUCAGUGAGUGUUUGGAGUGAUACCCAUGUUUUUCUAUGGAUAUAAGGAGAAAGAAGAAGGCUAUGAAAUCCCAUCAUGGAGUAACAAAAAUUUGACAUUUUAAUGGAUAUUGGACCUAGAAGCCUACAUGAAUGAAGGAAGCAAACCUGAGAUUCUGAUGUCUGUUUUCAGCUGCAAUACAAGUCCAGAACAUGAAGGAGCAAAGAUGACAACAAGCCUCCAGAGGAUGACAGUGUGGUCUUCUAAGUGAAGAUAGCAACAGAAGAGAUCACAGACAUAGCUUGAUUGGGUUGGGCUUGUUUGUUCAUUUAAAAUUUAAAAAAUACUUUUUUUCUUGAUGAUACAAGUAACACGAUCAUUGUUGAAAAAUGAAAUGAAUUGUAAAUUAAAAAGUAAAGAACACUGAUACUCUUACAUCCCAGAAAACAACUCAACAUUUGAGUGUGGUUCCCUUUGCUCUUGUUUAAAAAAAAGACUGUGUGGAACAGAA